CCAACGCCACGGAUCUUUCUUUUCCCGCCCAAUUAGUGACGAAGGCCGUCCUCCCUGUCUUCGAAAUGCGCAAAGGCAUUAAAAGGAGAGUCCUCUCCUGAUUCCCACGGUGGCAUGGAUUGGCAUUUAUCCUCACAUCUUUCCCCGGGAUUUGCAGCGGCGGUUGCCUGGGAGGCAGGGAAGCUGCUGGUUAUCGAAGAGGUGGAGGUGGCUCCGCCGCAGGCCAUGGAGGUCCGCGUGAAGAUCCUCUUCACCUCCCUCUGCCACACCGACGUCUACUUCUGGGAGGCCAAGGUACGGUUUUCCUCUACAAUCUCCCCCAGACGGCGACGCCCAGAAGGUCCCGCGGUCGAUCGGGAUGAUUGACGUGGUCUGGUUUUAGUGUCAUUGCAGGGUCAGACACCCGUAUUCCCCCGAGUUUUGGGCCACGAAGCAGCAGGGUACGCCCUCAUCGCUCAAUUUCCUUAACUUCCUCGGUCUCCUCCCCUAAUCGUCUUCUUCUUUUUCUUCCUCAGUCUCCCCAUAUGGACUUACUUAAAUUUCGCUGUAUGGUGUUGAUGGUGAACAGGAUCGUGGAGAGCGUGGGAGAAAGCGUGAAAGAUCUGCAGCCGGGGAGACCACGUGCUCCCGGUGUUCACGGGAGAGUGUAAGGAAUGCGACCACUGCAAAUCGGAGGAGAGCAACAUCUGCAGCCUGCUGAGGGUCGACCCUGACCGGGGUGUGAUGAUCGGGGACGGGAAGGCGAGGUUCUCCAUCAACGGGAAGCCCAUCUACCACUUUCUCGGCACCUCCACUUUCAGCGAGUACACGGUGGUGCACGUGGGCUGCCUGGCGAAGAUAAACCCGCUGGCCCCCCUGGAAACGGUCUGCGUGCUCAGCUGCGGGAUCUCCACAGGUGCGGCCUAACUCCUCUUCUUCUCGACUUCACUAGUAAAAAAAAUAAAAAAGGUAUAGCCCUGGAUCAUGUUCACACCAUCUUCCUCAUCCUCUAAUUUUCGGAAUUACACACUUUCUUAAUACCACAAAUGUUUUUGUCAAAUUUUUGAAGGUUUCGGCGCAACGGUGAAUGUGUCCAAGCCAAAGAAGGGAUCAUCAGUUGCUGUAUUCGGACUGGGAGCCGUGGGCCUUGCCGUGGGUGUCUCGUUCAUUCUUUCUUUCUCUGUUACACAGAUAAUGACAUCUUAGGAUGGUAACAGGCUGCGGAGGGGGCUAAGGUAUCUGGAGCUUCAAGGAUCAUCGGUGUGGACUUGAAUUCGGACAGAUUCGAGCAAGGUGUGUGUCCAUUCUUUUCAAAUCAAUGGGAUUCGGCACAUGUGAUGGACGACCGAAUUUAAAACAUUUGCAUUGCUGUUAUCACCAGCUAAGAAGUUCGGGGUGACGGAGUUUGUAAACCCAAAAGAUUACGACAGACCCGUUCAAGAGGUUCGGUUUCUAUUUCCCACAAUUUUGCAUUUACGAGUUUAGCAUCGAGCCAUUGACUGGGUUUCUGAAGUGUGAUUCUUGUUGUCUGUGGUGAACAGGUGAUCGCUGAGAUGACCGGCGGCGGAGUAGACCGCAGCGUUGAGUGCACGGGCAACAUCAACGCCAUGAUUUCCGAAUUCGAAUGCGUCCACGAUGUACUUUCCCUGGAUAUCCCUCGAUUGCUGACGCUUCGUAAACGGAAAUCAAUCCUUAUUUCACGAUCUCUAAUCGAAUCUGGUUGACGUCGCGGUCGCAGGGCUGGGGUGUUGCUGUGUUGGUCGGUGUACCACACAGAACUGACGUGCUCCAGACCUCCCCAGUCAAUUUCUUGUAUGAGCGGACCCUCAAGGGCACCUUCUAUGGGAACUACAAGCCUCGCAGUGAUAUUCCUGGUGUGGUGGAGAAGUACCUGAACAAGUUUAGGGAACCCGGUCUCUCCUUGCCGCAUUAUUUGUGAGUGGGGUUGAGUCGUCCAUGGGGUAGGCGUUCGCUAAAAACGUUGGUCUGUUUCUAUGGUUGCUUGACGGUGCAGGAGCUGGAGCUGGAGAAGUUCAUUACCCACGAAGUCCCUUUCUCCGAGAUCAACAAGGCGUUUGAUUUGAUACUCAGAGGAGAAGGCCUCCGCUGCCUCAUCCGAAUGGAACACUGAGUUUCUCUCGUUGUCGGGUCGUAUGAAUUUAGGCUAUACGUUACUAAUGCAAACCGAACCUUCAAAACUCUGAUUUCAAGUUUAUAUUUAGUUUGCAGUGGAGCACAAACUCUGUAUAGAUAGUAAUUUACACUUUCUUACGAACUCUGAGGCCUGUUUUGGUGCUAUGCAUGUUAUGUUAGUUAACCUAGUUCGUGAAUUUUUACGAGUGACUCCGCGUGAACUGUGAAAAUUGAGCUCAGACUGUGAUAAUAGGGACGUUCAGUCCCGGAAUGGCUCUGGAGAUUCACCAAGCAGGAGAGUUAUUUUUCUUGCCGAUCUAAAGGCCUUGGCUCGUUUCAAUUAUCGCCUCACUUCUUUUACCUGUUCCUAAGCCGAUAUGCGCUCUCUGUAACUGAAAUAUAUCUACCUUCGUCUUUCUCUUGUGUCAUAUUGUUCAAAGCUUGAAAACUAAGCUCGUUUUGGCAUAGAGUUCCACGCGCCGUUUCCCUCCGACAUAUAGGAUAGAUGAUGGGUUCCUGGUGUCUUGGAUGCGCUUGUUUGAACGAGCAAACCCUCCUUUCAUCAAACCGGUUGACUUCGAGGUAGGGAUUGAUAAUGAUUUUUCCACAAGAACCAGGUAGGGAAUUCAGACUGAAAUAUUUCGAUGGAGUCAGCAUCCGGUCACAUGAAGAGUCAAUUGCAAGCUGUGGCUCUGACUUUUCGGACGCCCCGCUAAGCGUCAUGUUCUUUAGAAAUGCCCGGUCAGUCAUCACCGCAGUAGUUUUUGUUAGAUAUAGUCGUAAAUGGGCUUAAAAUUUUCGGUUUAUGGGCCUUCUAUACUCCAGGUUGUUAUGGGCUUUCCGUAUUUGGCCAUUUUCAUGUUAUGUUUCUUGUUACAUUAUAUAAUGAUUAUAUGAGGCUUGCCUUUCUGUUGCCUUUCGUUCUUCCGUCGCCUUGUCUAUCUUCUUCGUCCCCUUUCCUUCUCUCUUGUGUAUUGCUCUUCCCCCUCUCUAUAUUUGCCAUUUGUUAACAGUUUUGAUGGUUCACUCUUCCUUUUAACUCUCGGAGGAAGUCUGUGAUUCCUUCUUUCGAUGCGUGAUUAUUAGAUUAUGGAUGCCAAGAACAUGAAAGUCAGUGUUGCGUCUGUUUUUCACUCGAGGAAAAUGAAUACGGAUAUCAAAAUUCCUGGGCUAUCUAUAGGAAAACAUGAAAAAUUGACAUUGCUAAGACUUCGAAUGAUUCCUCUGAAAUUCGAACCCAACAUAAGGUGCUCGGGGGAAGCCUAUCUACAUGCAAUGAAAUGUAGAUAAUCGUUUUGGUUGGCUAUUUACACUUACAUUAUAAAGUUGAUCCAAUCGGUGACGAUUAAAAACACACGGGAAAUAUUUAUUAUUCCAUAUAUUAUAUGCUUUCUAAUUUCGUUUUCCUCGUAGUCUGAGCUUAACUACAAAUCAUAUCUGUUAUUCAGACCGAUAACAUUUCAAAAACUCAGCGAAUCAGGAUGCGCCGCUUGCCCAGUUCCAUCUCCGUCGGCCCAGCAACUGAUUGCUCCACAUUCCUUUUUUUAUAGAUAUUUAUUAGUCAACGCUUCGGAUAAGAUCACAAGCUUCAACGCUGUGACAGCCUGAAAUGGACGCCUACGUCAUUCUCCAACCCCCUACGUUAAAAUAUACCAUGAAGACGGCUCGUGUCGUCUUCUGUGGGGCUCACCACAGACGCCAACGCUACGCGCGAGAGAGAAAGUCGUGGAUCCCGGUUUCACUCCGCGGGACGGCGGUAUUGCAAAUCAGGGAGGCGGCUUCAUCCUGUAGAUCUAUCCACCAUGUUUCUGGUAGUCCGAAGGAUGGCGCGAUGAGCUUGUCCACGAGAAUCGUCGCACGUAAUGACCCAGCUCUCUGGAAGGAAAAAUGGAGGACUAGUUUGGUUGGAGUGUAAUGUUGGGUAUUAGAAAUUUUAGUUUCAAAUGAUCUACAACACCAUCUCUACUAAAAAAAAUACGAUAAAACAGGAUAGGAACACGAUUCGAAAGCAAUUAUGUCGAGCACAUGAUAAGUUUGAGCGCGAUUGAUACAAGAUUAGUUUUCAGAGUUUUAUCAAAAAUGGGUUUCCCAAAAUUGAUACUUGAUGCGAUGGCCAAUGGUGUUAACUUUCUUUCGUACAAAGUCCAUAGAUAUAAAAACCAGAAAAUAAUCAAGUCUGAGAGUUCUGUAUCCUAUCCUUAUGAAUUUUAAUGGAUUUGUCAACACGGAUGAUCCCUUCUAGAGGAAUUGUUCCGUUGAGUAUUCCAGAUGCGACUUUUCGUAUCAAUUAUAUCAAAGCGAUUGAAAUAACAACUCGUACAUCUGCAUCUUACUGACGUCAAAGUAAAACCGGAGUCGAAAUCCAAGACGCUGGAAAUACAACCGAGGCGGACGUAUCGGUCAACCAUACCGUCGGCUGUGAAAUGGGACAACAGCCAAGCCCAAAGUCUCCAAACAAGCCGCCGGAUAAGAUGUUUCCAGCAGCGCAAGCGGUAUUGGAGACUCGAGAAAUCAUGAAAAUCCCGCGGUCUGGCCCCUAUAUAUACUUACUCAGACAUCUCCCUGUCUCUCCAAGUCUGCUGUCGGCCUUGGAUCACUAACGAGAGAGAGAGAGCAGGAGAGAGAGAGAGGCAGAGAGGCAACAACAGAGGGAGGGAAGAUGGCGAGCACAGCUGGUCAGAUCAUCAAAUGCAAAGGUUCGACCUUUCUCCCGUUGGUUAGUGUUUCAUUCUUUUGUUGGCUCGAGAAGACAGAGCCCAGUUUUCCCCCCAUUUUCUGGGGGCACAUAGAUUCUUCCUGUCUUCCGGAAGCCCUGACGGGACGGGAAAUUACCCUUCGUGGGUGGAUGUCCUGCUUAGCCAAAGCUGCAAAUUUAUCCUUACUUCUCUGGCCUGAUGUUGCAGCGGCGGUUGCUUGGGAGCCGGGGAAGCCGCUGGUUAUCGAAGAGGUGGAGGUAGCUCCGCCGCAGGCCAUGGAGGUCCGUGUGAAGAUCCUCUUCACCUCCCUCUGCCACACCGACGUCUACUUCUGGGAGGCCA
rnacentral:lncRNA from 1 species